rnacentral:lncRNA from 1 species
GGAAGAGAAGGAGGAGGAGGAGGAGGAGGAGAAAGUGGCUCUCAGCGGCCGGUCGGAUUAAAAGUAACCAGACUCGUCCAGAAAACUGCGUCCAGGAAGGAAGUGACAGAAGACGAAUGGGAAAAGGAGAACAGCUCACAGCGUUUGAAACAUCGCGGCACCACUUUCAGAUAAAAACAUAGACCUGAAUGGCAUCAUCCAGUAUCCAAGGAAACCAUGUUCUCUAAACAUGAAUAUGCCUUUGGGGGAAGACAGAAGAACAUGGAAGCCAUGUGAAAAAAACGGAUCCUAAGGCAGUUUUGAACAUCUGGAGGCCUGAUUUAUUGGAGAUUGCAAAUGUACAGUGUAACAUAGCUGUGGAGAGCGAGAAGAUCAGGAUUGUCAAUGCUGUCAUUGCUUUUACUGGAAUCCCCAGCACGAAUUGAAGGUUUGACCAGAGACAAAGAAGCAAAUGCUAUCAAUUAACAUUCACAUGUGGUAGGUCUCACUUUGCCACCUAGGCUGGAUGCAAUGCAACGGUAUGUUGAUCUUGGUUCACUGCAGCCUCAACCUCCUGAGCUCAUGUGAUCCUCCCACCUCAGUCCCCCACGUCGCUUGGAUUACAGGCCUGUGCCACCACACCUGGCUAACUUUUUUUGUAAUUUUUGUAGAGACAGGGUCUCACUAUGUUUCCCAUGCUGGUCUUUAAUGCCUGAGCUCAAGCCAUCCGCCUGCCUCGGCCUCCCAAAUUGCUGGGAUUACAGGCAUGAGCCACCAUGCCCAGCCUAAUUCUUCUAAAUCUUAUCCUAGUAAUUAAGCCAGAAUUUUUCUCUGCCAAGACCAAUAGAUGGACCAAGAAGUACUCAUCCUUGUAAACUUUCUUUGGAUAAAUUGCUUACAUAUAAUAAAUUCAGAGUUAAGUAAUAAAAAUAAUGAACUACUGUCUUG